rnacentral:rRNA from 1 species
GAUGAACGCUAGCGGCAGGCCUAACACAUGCAAGUCGAGGGGUAGAACACUUCGGUGUUUGAGACCGGCGCACGGGUGCGUAACGCGUAUGCAAUCUACCUUGUACAGGGGAAUAGCCCAGAGACAUUUGGAUUAAUGCCCCAUAGUAUAUAACAUUCGCAUGUUGGUUAUAUUAAAGUUCCAACGGUACAAGAUGAGCAUGCGUCCCAUUAGUUAGUUGGUAAGGUAACGGCUUACCAAGACGAUGAUGGGUAGGGGUCCUGAGAGGGAGAUCCCCCACACCGGUACUGAGACACGGACCAGACUCCUACGUGAGGCAGCAGUGAGUAAUAUUGGUCAAUGGGCACAAGCCUGAACCAGCCAUGCCGCGUGCAGGAAGACGGUCCUAUGGAUUGUAAACUGCUUUUAUACAGGAAGAAACAACUCUACGUGUAGAGUCUUGACGGUACUGUAGGAAUAAGGAUCGGCUAACUCCGUGCCAGCAGCCGCGGUAAUAC